CAAAGUUUACUCAAUGAUGAGUCCGCUGCGAACCGUUCAUGGCGAACCGUUCACGAACCGUUGGGCGAACAGUUCGGGACAUCACUAAUAGUAAACAAACUAAAAUAAUUAUUCAGCGUGCCAGAAACAGAUAAAAAUUACAAGACACUUGAACCUUUAGCUCUGGAAAAAGUUUUCCUGCACAAUCCAGGAAGUAAAGGUAUUAUUUCUAUGUGUUACUCUGUCUAUAAUGCUAAACCCUCAGAUAAGAUGAGACAUAUGUUGUCAUGGGAGACGGAACUGGGUACACAAUACUGUUUGAAAAAAUGGUUUGAUUUUUUUACUACCCUUAAGGGAAUUUCUUCAUUUUGAAAACCACUAUAAGAUUUUAUAUCGGUGGUACCUGGUUCUGUCUCGACUGCACAACAUAAACGAUAAGUACUCAGACCGAUGUUGGAGAGAUUGCAGAGGUAGAUUACAUGGUGGUUUUGUACAAAACUAGCCGGAUAUUGGAAGAGGAUCCAUGAUCUGAUUAUUCAAGUAGACAAAGACAUAAGUAUAUUGACAUCAGAACUAGCAUUAUUUAAGAAAUUCCCGGAGUCUGCUUCCAAAAUUGACAAAAUAAUAAUAGGCCACAUUUUAAUUGCAGCUACCACAUGCCUACCUCGAUACUGGAAGUCUAAGAAAUUACCUACGUGUAAAGAAGUAUUAACCAUGGUUCUGGACAGCAAAGCAAACGAACUGUCUUACAGAAAGAAUACAAAUUUAUUUGCAAAACUUCAACAUAUUUGAGACAAAUGGGAAGAGGACAUUAAAAAACCCACCGUAUAUAAAAUCUGAGUUUUGUCAAGUUCAGAAAUACAUGACCAAUGUUUUGUAUAUUAUUUCUUAUGUUUACCAAUUGGUAUGGACUACCUUACCCAUUUCCAAGUUUCCCUUCCCUUCCCCCUCGUCGAAUAGUAUGUUUGACUAUUCGCUAUUAUUUGUUUGAAAUAAACUAUAACUUCAAUAAAAACUAUUUGAAAAGAACUAUAAGGAUAUGGCAUUCUCUUCCUGAAGAGGUGGUUUUUAUCAGAGUUAUCAGAGAUGUUUAAACAGCAAUUGGAUAGAUAAUUCCAAAAACAUAACACACAGGGAUAUAAUUUCUAAUUAGUGGGGUAAUAGCUGCUUGAUCCAAGGAGACAUCUGACUGCCAUUUUGGGGUCAAGAAAGAUUUGGAAGCGCUUCAGACUGGGUUUUUUGCCUUCUUUUGGAUCAACAGCAAAAACAUAUGUGAGGAAGGCUGAACUUGAUGGAUGCAAGUCUUUUUCAGCUAUGUAACUAUGUAACUCAUGGAAACACAGACUGACACUAAACCAUUCACACAUUCACAGACACAGAAACUGACACACAUUCACUGACCCAUACAUGUUGACAUUUGUAUACUGAAACACACACAAUGCCAGCACAUACAUAUUUUGAGGAGAAGGGGAUAUCAACUGUCUUUUUACUCCUCCAGAGUUUGAGAGGCUAGAAGCAUGCAAAAGGAGACGGAAGAAGUCUGAAUUAAUAUGCAUUAUGUGCUCCAUCAACAAGAACAGCUAUAGAGCAUUAUCAGAGACAAACUCUCUUCCAAUGCUCCAACACACCCAGCACCCUGAGACAGCUACCCUCCCUCCCUCCCUUGACUCCCCCCGCUCCUUUGCUACACCUCUGUUUCCAUCUGAUUUUAAUCUGAUCUAAGAACUGUCAAUAACAUUUUUCUAGUAGGUUCCUCCUGGGACAUUCUAUUUCAGAUACUUUAUUGUCAUAUAAAGCAGGGAUAUCCUGCAGGAUAAAUGCAAGACUGCACAUGAUGCUUUACUCUUGGGUAAUUCUUUUCCAUGGAGCAGGUUUUCGCAUACAUUCUCC